AUAGGCAAGUCUCUCCUGCUGCACGCUGCAGACAGGCCUUUCAAAGGGGCAAUGAGUUAGGUAAAGAAAGGUGGUGGAACUGGUGGGAAUACUCCUCAGUGACAACCUUCUUAAGAACUGGAGAAGCAGCUUCCUUCAUGCUUGUAGACCAUUUCUCUUGGCUUGUGAUGCCUGUGGGCCUCAAAAUAACUGAGGUUUGCACAGCUGCAAGAGCAACAUGAGAUGUGCCUACCCACCCAUCCUGACAUACAGGACCAUGGCUGCCAUAGGACAUAGCACCAGGUCCUUGGAGCGCAAGAAUAGCAGACCUCUCCCCUCACAGCAGGGUGACGUUUUCAGAUAUGGAGGUGUGAGUAGUCAAGCCCGCUUAAGAAACCAACAGAUUCUUCUUCCUGCAUGGAGAUAUUUUACCCCCAAGACAUCAAUUAGACAUGGAAAAGAUUGAACCAUGGGAUGGACAUGGACAGUGACUCAAAAGAACAGUAAAGCCUAAGAAAUACAAGAAAGGAAAGAAAGAGUUGAGCAGCAACAACAGCGAAACAGACAGAUGAACAGCAUACAAGUGGAAAGCAGUGGUCACAGUUUUCUACCUCAGCUUCUCCUGACAGCAAGCAUCUUUACAUCUGUCACCUUGAUCCCAGUGUCAGCUGCAUCAAAAUCUACAAGUCUUUAAGUCUGUGCAACCCUUUUUUUGCAUCCCAGUGACUAACUGAAGAGUGGAUUCAGCAAACAAAGUCUGCACAUGGCUCCUUUCUUGGGCCUCUUUGGCUUUAGGAUGGAUUUCUGUGCUGAGAAGAUACACAAAGCAGCUGAGUGCCCUUGCCCAGCCCAGCCAACCAAAGCUUCUGCUCUGCUUGCCGGAUGGGCCUCAGAGCAAAUGAGCCCCACAGCCCAGGAAGGAGCUGCUGAGUGCUGCACCUUGACACUGUGUUGGGCCAUACUGCACAGGAUGUACAGGAUACAUCACAUUCACUUGACAUCUACUGCAAGCCAGCAAGGUUCAGGCUAAGCCGAGUGGAUCGGAGCACACACGUCAUCUCAGAGCUCCUGGUGUGGCUGCUGACAGCCGAUGUGACCAUGGUGGGGCUCUCAUCCCUCCAUGGCGUCACCUCCUCUCUGCCGUCCCCACAGCUCCCGCCGCUCGGCCAAACCAGCUUCCUUUUCCUGUGGGGCUUUGUCCCGCUCACGGUAGCGCCGGCCCCAGCACCUCGUGGUUUCACGGCCCCCAUCAUCUGCUCUCUCUUCCUUCUGCAUUAUUUAAACCGCCUCGCUCCGGCGGUCAGGGCCGGGUUAGAUCGAACAGAAGCCACACGUUAUUUACGAGGGGGACGGCGCUGCCUCCUGCUCCACCGGCUGACUUCGGGGCCUACAGUGACACAGCCCGACCCUCCGCUCGGCCACCGCGGCCGGACCCAAGGCUCGACUUUAACCACUCGUCACGCCGGUGCCGCCCGCUCCCAACGCCGGCAGCGGGGGCUCGGCCCGAGGUUCCCAGCCACGCCCCGUCAGCAGCUUCGCAGCA